rnacentral:rRNA from 1 species
AUUGAACGCUGGCGGAAUGCUUUACACAUGCAAGUCGAACGGCAGCACGGGGCAACCUGGUGGCGAGUGGCGAACGGGUGAGUAAUACAUCGGAACGUGCCCAAUCGUGGGGGAUAACGUAGCGAAAGUUACGCUAAUACCGCAUACGAUCUACGGAUGAAAGCGGGGGAUCGCAGGACCUCGCGCGAGUGGAGCGGCCGAUGUCAGAUUAGGUAGUUGGUGGGGUAAAGGCUCACCAAGCCAACGAUCUGUAGCUGGUCUGAGAGGACGACCAGCCACACUGGAACUGAGACACGGUCCAGACUCCUACGGGAGGCAGCAGUGGGGAAUUUUGGACAAUGGGCGCAAGCCUGAUCCAGCCAUUCCGCGUGCAGGAUGAAGGCCUUCGGUUGUAAACUGCUUUGUACGGUAACGAAACGGCGAGCUCUAAUACAGUUUGCUAAUGACGGUACCGUAAGAAUAAGACACCGGCUAACUACGUAGCCAGCAGCCGCGGUAA